CAGGAGGAGCAACAGGAGGAACAACAGGAGGAACAGAUCAGGUGUGUUUGUGUCUUAAUGAGUCAGUAAUUAAUAAUCUCACCAUAAUAUCUGUCAGCUGACCGUCAGUCUGAUUAUCAGCAGUUUCCUUCAUGUUGAGAAGAACUGUGAUAAUAGAUGAUGAGUUGAGAAGCAGUUCAGAAGCAGUUAGAAAUCACUUUUGAUUAAAAAAAGACAUUUGUUAGAUGUUGGGCAGAGACAGAGGUGGACUUGGACAAAAAAUCAGCCCUGGCAUUUUCUGUCCAGACCAGCCCACUACAUUAUCAGUGGACACCACGUAGAAGUCCACAAAUCUCACGGCGUCUUCACUUACACAUACUACAAAGGAGAGUCAUAUUCCUUGAUAGCAGUUAACAAAUAAAGCACGUAGCUAUGAACUCAAGGACUAAAAUUGAGAGCUAUAGCAAUCAACCACUCAGUCUUUAUUCAUUAUAGUGUCAAAUCACAGCAGAAGUUAUGUCAUGACAAGGGGCGGGACGAGACUGUCGGGAAGAACCCAAAACCUCCACCAGUUGGGUGGAGGGGGGAGAAAGAGCGAGAGAGACAAAGAGACAGAGACAGGGAGAUAAGGACAAACAGGGACAAUAAUAACAAGAUAUCACAGACAGUAGCAGCAUCAGAGCUGGAACUCAUGUGUAUUAACAGUGACUCAGCCAUUAUGAAACCAUCAAUAGAAAAUUGAAGAAAAAAAUUAUCUAUAGCUGUGUGAAAAAGUCUAAGAAUUACAGGUCUGAAUAGAUAUGCAUUCUCAUAUCAGUAUAUGUGCACAAGUAUGUCUUGCCCUGCUUCCUCGUCUGCAGCCAGCCAGCUCCACCCGUCACCUAAUUCAUGACCUGCAAGAAACAGCAAACAGAACUUGUGCUCAGUAUCUGUGUACUGACAAGUGUAUGUAGCCAAGCAGCCUUUUGUGACGUGGUGACACCUAGUGAACAAAUGUGUCUGUCAUGAAGGCUGACUUCAAAGUCUCAAAAGAGGCCUAAGGCAUUUGAAAACUACAGUAAAAGUAACACAUUUACACAAAGUAAGUUACACACAAAUUACACCUAUAAAUAGUUAUCACCUCAGUAAACAAUGAAUGAAUUGAAAGAUUACAAUAAAUUCAGUGAUAAAUAUUGGAAAUUAAACGUAUUAUUUCCUAUAGGUUUACUAAAAUUCAAAGUAUCUCAGCUUGAUUCUGCAUCUCUAUUUACAGCUCAUCAGUCCACCUGAAUGUUUCCUGUUGUCACACUGUUAGUUGUUUACGUUAGCAUCUGUUGGCUAACUUAGCUAAAUCAUCAUAAUAUCACAAUUCGGCAUAUUUGAACAACAUCAACCAUGACUACCAACAGUCACAGCCCUUCAGCUCUGGGCUAAUGUACUGUUACAUGUUAGAUUGUCAAAGUUUGAAAAAUAACGGCUCAGUCUCUGAGGAGCUACGUUGGCAGCUGCAUUCAUCAGUAUGCAGUUAGUUCGGUCACAUCACAUUCAAUAUAAAGACGUUUUCUACUUUGUUUUGGACACGUCUCAAAAAAUGUAGCCUAGGGAGGUCGGCCCGAUCGGAGGGAAUUUAGAGAAGGGAGAAAAAAAACCCCUCAAAAACCCGUAGCGGAACACAAGGGGAAAACAACAGCUUGUGCACUUUUAUAUCAUUUAGAUUCUUUUUUAUUGGUGAAAACUAAACAGUUGGCAGGGGGUUAGAAUUAGAACUUCACGAUAUAAAUACAGAGGUCUAUAGACAUCAAUCUGUCUGUCUGUCCAUGAGCUUCAUGUGUCAUUUUCAUUGGGGGGGAGGAGGAACAGCAGGAGAAGCAAUGUGAGGAGCAGGAGGAACAACAGGAGGAACAGCAGGAGGAACAACAGGAGGAACAGCAGGAGGAACAGGAGGUACAAUCAACACUUCUACAAAAGGAAAGAGUGACCCCUCCUAUUGUGCCUCCGAAACCAAGAUCCAUUAGACGAGCAGUAAAGUCGGGUCCGCUGUAAUCGUACAUUUGCCUCCUGGUGACACAUUUCAGAUUAAACUUUAAACUGUGACUGCAACGUUUGUGAUUGGAUGCAGGCUGGAGAUUUUUUGUUGCUUUUGCUUUUUCAAAUGUCAGUUUAAAAAUACGUUUCUACUGUGAUUUAUCUUUCUGUAUAAAGCUAUGAGUGCUCAACUAAAAGUGUGUGGUUGCAAAUUAUGAUGCAAAUGUAAAUAAAAAGAAAAAAAAGAAGUUCUGUACAGGAGGUUCAAUAAUAUCUUUUUUUCAAAAUGUUAUCCUGUCAGAAGUUGGUCUCUGUUAAUUUUAGUUUGAACAAAUGACCGAAUUAAUGCAAAUUUAUGUGGAAACAAAACAAAAAUAAAAGUUUAAUUAUUUGACAAAUAUAAUAAAAAGAAAGGCAUGU